UGCUGCACUUGUUAUCUUGAUAGGA
rnacentral:piRNA from 1 species